UUCGAUCGGGGAUAAAAGGAUUUAACUUCCCUGACCGGGAAUCGAACCCGGGCCGCGGCGGUGAGAGCGCCGAAUCCUAGCCACUAGACCACCAGGGAGGCGAUGAGCACAAUAAUCCUCCAGCGGCUGGUCGUGGUCAUUACCACACUAUCUAUGCGGUCUGAGGGCAAUGACUCUGAUGCCCAUUGGUGCCUAGACACGGACCCCACAUACCUUCUAGCAGGUGAGCCAGAUUCGAACGGGGAUAAAAGGAUUUAACUUCCCUGACCGGGAAUCGAACCCGGGCGGUGAGAGCGCCGAAUCCUAGCCACUAGACCACCAGGGAGGCGAUGAGCACAAUAAUCCUCCAGCGGCUGGUCGUGGUCAUUACCACACUAUCUAUGCGGUCUGAGGGCAAUGACUCUGAUGCCCAUUGGUGCCUAGACACGGACCCCACAUACCUUCUAGCAGGUGAGCCAGAUUCGAACGGGGAUAAAAGGAUUUAACUUCCCUGACCGGGAAUCGAACCCGGGCC